AAAAUAUGCAAUCAUUUUAAAUAACAGUUUUAUAAACUUCGAUUGUUACUAGGCCAUUUCAGUGGCCAAUGUAAUUUUCUGAAUUGGGUCUUAACGUCUAGGUCGAGUUGGGGAGGUUACAUUUGAUGAUAUCAGAGCCACAAGUUUUUCAAAACUCAGACUGUGAAAUUUUGAAUGUGUCUGCAUGCAUGUUUUAAAAAGGGGUAUUUUAGGAAAAAUCAUGCCACAAACUUUUGAAAAAUGAUAUUCUUCUAAAAGAAAUUAAAUCCAAGACUUCGAUGCCG
rnacentral:lncRNA from 1 species